UUGGGAGCUCUCCCAUAUGGUCGACCUGCAGGCGGCCGCGAAUUCACUAGUGAUUCGUAUUACCGCGGCUGCUGGCACGUAGUUAGCCGGUGCUUCUUAUCUAGGUACCGUCACCAAAAAGCUUCGUCCCUAGCGAAAGGAGUUUACAACCCGAAGGCCUUCAUCCCCCACGCGGCGUCGCUGCAUCAGGCUUGCGCCCAUUGUGCAAUAUUCCCCACUGCUGCCUCCCGUAGGAGUCUGGGCCGUAUCUCAGUCCCAAUGUGGCCGUACACCCUCUCAGGCCGGCUACCCGUCGCCGCCUUGGUAGGCCAUUACCCCACCAACAAGCUGAUAGGCCGCGAGCUCAUCCUACACCGAAAAAACUUUCCAACCACCACACUAAAGAUGGUUCCUAUCCGGUAUUAGACCCAGUUUCCCAAGCUUAUCCCGAAGUGCAGGGCAGAUCACCCACGUGUUACUCACCCGUUCGCCACUCGAGUACCCUGCAAGCAGGGCCUUUCCGUUCGACUUGCAUGUGUUAAGCACGCCGCCAGCGUUCGUCCUGAGCCAUGAUCAAACUCUAAUCGAAUUCCCGCGGCCGCCAUGGCGGCCGGGAGCAUG
rnacentral:rRNA from 1 species